AUUUAAAUAGCUUAAUUGGAGAGUAUAACAUUGAAGAUGUUAGGGUAGUAAUUUUACUUUUAAAUA
rnacentral:tRNA from 2 species